GAUGAACGCUAGCGGGAGGCUUAAUACAUGCAAGUCGAACGGUAAGGUCAGAGCUUGCUCUGAUACACGAGUGGCGCACGGGUGAGUAACGCGUACACAAUCUACCUCGAAGUGAGGGAUAGCCCCGGGAAACUGGGAUUAAUACCUCAUGGUAUUCAGGUUUUACAUUUGGAUUAAAGGAUUCGAUCCGCUUUGAGACGAGUGUGCGUUAGAUUAGCUAGUUGGUAGGGUAACGGCCUACCAAGGCGACGAUCUAUAGGGGGCGUGAGAGCGUGAACCCCCACACGGGUACUGAGACACGGACCCGACUCCUACGGGAGGCAGCAGUAAGGAAUAUUGGACAAUGGGGGCAACCCUGAUCCAGCCAUCCCGCGUGGAGGAAGACGGCCCUAUGGGUUGUAAACUCCUUUUGUAUGGGAAGAAUAUGUUUCAUUAAUGAGAUUUUGACGGUACCAUACGAAUAAGCACCGGCUAACUCCG
rnacentral:rRNA from 1 species